rnacentral:rRNA from 2 species
UACGGGGGGGGCAAGCGUUGUUCGGAAUUACUGGGCGUAAAGGGCUCGUAGGUGGCCAACUCAGUCGGACGUGAAAUCCCUCGGCUUAACCGGGGAACUGCGUCCGAUACUGGAUGGCUUGAGAUCGGGAGAGGGAUGCGGAAUUCCAGGUGUAGCGGUGAAAUGCGUAGAUAUCUGGAGGAACACCGGUGGCGAAGGCGGCAUCCUGGACCGACACUGACACUGAGGAGCGAAAGCCAGGGGAGCAAACGGG